UACGGGGGGGGCAAGCGUUGUUCGGAAUUACUGGGCGUAAAGGGCUCGUAGGCGGCCAACUAAGUCGGACGUGAAAUCCCUCGGCUUAACCGGGGAACUGCGUCCGAUACUGGAUGGCUUGAGUUCGGGAGAGGGAUGCGGAAUUCCAGGUGUAGCGGUGAAAUGCGUAGAUAUCUGAAGGAACACCGGUGGCGAAGGCGGCAUCCUGGACCGACACUGACGCUGAGGAGCGAAAGCCAGGGGAGCAAACGGG
rnacentral:rRNA from 1 species